AGAGAGGUAGUGACAAGAAAUAACAAUACAAGGCAAUUAAAAUGUUUUGUAAUUGGAAUGAUAGAAAUUUAAACACUUUUUAAAGUAUCAAUUGGAGGGCAAGUCUGGUGCCAGCAGCCGCGGUAAUUCCAGCUCCAAUAGCGUAUAUUAAAAUUGUUGCAGUUAAAAAGCUCGUAGUUGAAUUUCUGUUAAAAAUAACCGGUCUGCUUUUUUUAUUAAAAGUGGUAUCAUCUUGGUGUGUUUUUAACAAUAAUAAUGUCCUUUGAAAAUGUUUUUUACUUUAUUGUAAUAUAAGUCAUUGUUUUGAGGAUUUUUACUUUGAGAAAAUUAGAGUGUUUCUAGCAGGCUUUUACGCUUUUGAAUACUGCAGCAUGGAAUAAUAAGAUAGGAUUUUAGUUCUACAUUAUUGGUUUUAAGAACUAAAUUAAUGAUUGAUAGGGAUAGUUGGGGGCAUUUGUAUUUAACUGUUAGAGGUGAAAUUCUUAGAUUUGAUAAAGACAAACUACUGCGAAAGCAUUUGCCAAAGAUGUUUUCAUUAAUCAAGAACGAAAGUUAGGGGAUCGAAGACGAUCAGAUACCGUCGUAGUCUUAACUAUAAACUAUG
rnacentral:rRNA from 1 species